rnacentral:rRNA from 1 species
CAAUAGCGUAUAUUAAAGUUGUUGCAGUUAAAAAGCUCGUAGUUGGAUUUCUGGUGGGAGCGAUCGGUCUGGCGCUUAGCGCGAGUACUUGCAUCGUCUCCGGCCAUCCUUGUGGAGAGUCUGUCUGGCAUUAGGUUGUCGGGCAGAGGAUCCUCAUCGUUUACUGUGAAAAAAUUAGAGUGUUCAAAGCAGGCUUAUGCCGUUGAAUAUAUUAGCAUGGAAUAAUAAGAUAGGACUUUGGUACUAUUUUGUUGGUUUGCGCACCAAAGUAAUGAUUAAUAGGGACAGUUGGGGGUAUUCGUAUUCCGUUGUCAGAGGUGAAAUUCUUGGAUUUACGGAAGACGAACUACUGCGAAAGCAUUUACCAAGGAUGUUUUCAUUAA